UCGGGGUUCGAUUAAGCCAUGCGAGUCGAGAGGGUUCGGCCCUCGGCGUACUGCUCAGUAACACGUGGAUAACCUGCCCUAGGGAAGGGGAUAAUCCCGGGAAACUGGGGAUAAUACCCUAUAGGUUACAGAUGCUGGAAUGCUCUGUAAUCAAAAGUUCCGGCGCCCUAGGAUGGAUCUGCGACCGAUUAGGUUGUUGUUGGGGUAAUGGCCCAACAAGCCAGUAAUCGGUACGGGUUGUGGGAGCAAGAGCCCGGAGUUGGAUUCUGAGACACGAAUCCAGGCCCUACGGGGCGCAGCAGGCGCGAAAACUUUACAAUGCGGGCAACCGUGAUAAGGGAACCUCGAGUGCCUGUAAAUGCAGGCUGUUCAGAUGCCUAAAACACAUCUGGAGAAAGGGCCGGGCAAGACCGGUGCCAGCCGCCGCGGUAAUACCGGCGGCUCGAGUGGUGGCCACUUUUAUUGGGCUUAAAGCGUUCGUAGCUGGGUUGUUAAGUCUCUCGGGAAAUCUGGCGG
rnacentral:rRNA from 1 species